rnacentral:rRNA from 1 species
UGGUGCCUACGGGGCGCAGCAGUGAGGAAUAUUGGUCAAUGGUCGGGAGACUGAACCAGCCAAGCCGCGUGAGGGAUGAAGGUACAGAGCAUCGUAAACCUCUUUUGUCAGGGAACAAAGGCGGGGACGCGUCCCCGGAUGAGUGUACCUGAAGAAAAAGCAUCGGCUAAAUCCGUGCCAGCAGCCGCGGUAAUACGGAGGAUGCGAGCGUUAUCCGGAUUUAUUGGGUUUAAAGGGUGCGCAGGCGGGCUGUUAAGUCAGCGGUCAAAGCCCGGGGGUC